CUCCAAGCUCCUUAAGCACUACAGCCUGUUGUAGUGGUUAUGGUACCAGGAGUACCCUGGUGCCUUCCUAGCGUAAUUUGUCAAACUGUUUUAGAACCGAUAAUUCUGGAAGGGUGCCAGUGCACUCCUGACACUAUACCACUUUUGUGCAUGGAGCAUAAGGGUGCGAACGGGGUGUGCCUGGGCACACCCUAAUCCCUGCGGCACGCCUAUGGAUUGAGACUGGCAGGGGAGAUCUCUAAGCCUCCAUGAGCCGGUGGGGAGAUCAAAGAUCUAUCUCACCGGCCCACAGCAACAUGGAGGGAGGCUGGGGAGCUCUAGCCAGCAGCUUCACCGGGCUCCUCUUGUGAGAUCUAAGCAUUGCCGCGGCACCGCUCAGAUCUUGCGAGAGUGAACUCUAGCCCUGCAAGCUAGAGUUCACUCUCCAUUAGACCACCAGGGAUGGCACAUGGCAGCAUUUCCAUUGUUUCCUCAAUAAACAAGCCAUUUUGUUCUACACUUUAUCAGUUGUCCAGCUGUUUUUGAGGUAUUUUAACUUCUAUUACUG